UUACCGAUGUCAGCUGUGGAAUGACAGAUGAAACAAAGAUGGCCGAAAAUGGGUUGGGAUCGGAUGGCGGAUCUGAAGUAUUCUUUGGUAGCGAGGCAAUUAAUUUGGAUAUCGAGGAGCUUGAUGAUGCAGAAUACGCAAUACCAGCUGUGGAGGAAUUACCUUCCUUGGAGAGUAUUUUAACCGAGCCAGAUUGUGGAUCGCUGUCUGGUACCGACGAUGAUCUCGGUGCGGUUUCUUUGGAGAAAUUAGGAGGUAGCGAAACGGCGAGUGUUGGAAGUCUCCUGUCCCUCAAUUCAUUGAGCAAACCAUUAAGGCCCCUUCAACCUCCCUCGUCAGGUGCCAUCUUGAGGCACAUCAUUCUCAAAGGCAUAUCCGCCCAAAUCGUUUCCGCUAGUGAAAGAGUUAAUGCCGGGCUAGCGAGUGCAGUCACUGCAGGAGGAAACAUGCUGGUGAUAGGCACUAGUCAUGGACUGGUCUUGGGUUUUGAUUCAACACAGACCCUGCGAUGGUGCGAUCAGGAAGCAAGACAUCAAGGUUCAGUUUCUGCACUGUGCUUCAAUCAUGAUGGCACGAGAUUAUUGGCUGGCUUUGCCAGGGGCCAUAUUCUCAUGAUCGACAGCUCGAAUGGUAAAGUGCUGAGGACUCUUACAGAGGUGCAUCCACCUGGAACAGCUGUGCUACACGUCAAAUUCACAGAUUCACCAAAGCUGGCUCUUUGCAGUGAUAGCGGUGGCUCCGUUUUUGAACUGAAUUUUACAAGAGUCAUGGGUGUUAGGGGGUGCGAAAGCAAGUGUCUCUUCAGUGGAUCCAGAGGUGAAGUCUGUACUUUGGAACCACUGUUGUUAAAUGACCUACCGACACACCCCUUGAAGAACUACACACUAGUUGCCAUGGCCACCUUGUCUAAGGUCAUAGUUGUUUGUAUAAGAGCACGAACGCGCGUAUUAUUGACUCAUGGAUUGAAUAGGUCUUCGACUGCUCCACCUCAAGUUUCUUGGCAGCUAGUUGUCAUUCAAGCUGCCGAUGCCUCUAGAGUAAUCGAUCCCGUUUUGGCCCUUGCGAGAGACGACGUUAUUCAUUUUUAUCAAGUCUGUUCGGAAGCUGGAUCUAGGGUACGUCUUUCACCUCUACGCAGAGUCACUUUGACGUACACAAUCAGCAAUCUACGAUGGCUGAACGCAAGGUCUUUGGCAAUUCUGGACACUCAAGAGAGAUUACACUUGCUGGAUGUUAGGACCCAAGAUAAUUUAGAAACAUUAGACAUGAGUCGAGUCGGAAUUUCAUACGCGUCUAGCCACUUUAAAGGACUAUCCACCGGUGGCAAUGUUUCGAAGGCAAUGGCGCUCGCCGGCGAACGGGCCUGCUACAAUACAGUAGUAACGUACGAAAAUCAACUUCUUCUGCUAGGUACCAAAAGUCUACACGCGGUGUGCAUCAGAACAUGGACCGAAAGGCUGCGACACAUGACUCUUCAGAGACGCUUCCCCGAAGCUUUGGCGUUAGGAUUGUCCUUCUACCAAGACAAGGGAAAGGCGGUCGUCGGCCUGCGCGGAUCUAAGCAGCGUAGAAAACAAAUAGCUCGCGACAAAGUGUGCCAGGUCUUGGUAGAGUACAUGGACGAGCUGCGGCACUGUUCCAGCGACAACAACGUCGAGAACGAGGUGGUGUCCACCUGCGUGGACUAUUGCGUCCAGUUGGAGAACACGGAGCUGCUCUUUGGAAGGCUUUGGGACUUGGUCUCGGAUUCCGAAGGGCUCAGGGCGAACUAUUUACGAGCCCUGGAAGCGCCGUUGCUCGACGGAAGUCUGCCUCCCCGUUUGCCUCCAUUAAUCGCCCAACACUUGGUGAUCCUCUACGAGCAAGAGGAAAGACUGGAUCCCCUGCAGUCUAUCGUGGUCCUGUUGAACGUCGACUGUUUAGACAUUCAUCAGGUGACAACGGUGUGUCGUCAGCGAGGGCUAUGGGAAGCGCUGAUACACCUCCAGACCACCGCCCUGGGCGACUUCGCCGCCCCGAUUCAUCAGCUGAUGCCGGUGCUGCGGAGCUCCUUGAACAGUGUCCAGGACGCUUUCCCUCGAGACUGCAUCAGACUGGGAAACGCGCUUCUGGUGUACGCGAGUUGCUGCCUAACGGGGCGGCAGUUUCCCAGAGGAGAGCUGCCGGAAGGGUCUCAUCAGCGUGCAAAAUCCGACGUCCUUCGAGCCCUCCUUUCUCAGCACUCCAGCUUAAGCGCCGACAACGAGAGGCAGUACCCUUACAUCAGGACUCUGUUAAGGUUCGACGCUCGCGGCUUCCUCGACGUAAUUGCCAUCGCCUUCCAAGAGCCGGAGUUCACCUCCGAGAUGGGUAUGAGGCAACGCCAGCGACUGGUCGACAUCUUGUUGACCAUCGUCAUGCCCGCCAUGCCUCCCAGUCCCACGAAUUCCGAAAAUCUAACGAUCGAACAGCGAUCGGCCGUGUUGAUCUUCGUCGCCGGCGAGGUCGCCGAGAGCACCGUGAGCCUUGAGGCCGCUGUCCUCAACAGGGUCAUCGACGUUCUCUGCAACGAUUACAAAAGCGAGCGGGAAAAUGCCGUGCUUCUGUUACUGCACUCCAAGAAGCUGCACAGCGUGUCGGACAACACGUUGCUCAAUUUAGCGCAGCGUGCCAAUUUCCUGCGAGUGGCAGAGUACCUGCAUAACGCCAGAGAAGACUGGACAUCGGUGUGCCGAUGCCUGAUAGCGGACCCCUCGAGGCACCUCGAGGUCUGGCCAUGGUUGGAGAGACUCCCCACGAUAUCUUUUCAGACUGUCAUGAUGGAGCACUGUGUCGACCUAGUUGCCAUAGACUCCUGCCAAUUGGCAACCCUAGUCGCGUCACGUAUGCCAAAUAAAAUGCGAAACGUCCUGGAAAGACUGGAAAGCGAUUCCAGACUGGAGCACGCGUUUCUGGCCGCUCUGUACCACAUGGUUCGCUACAAGGAGGACGAUGUCAAGCUGGAGUUGCCGACGGACCUCUUGGAGCGAUACCUUAUGUUGAUGUGUCGAUACGAACCGGAAAAUGUAGUCGGUCACUUGCACGGUCCCCACGGCUGCCGAUUAGACGAGGCUCUGAGGAUAGUGCAAGAAUCCAAGUGCGAAGAUGCCGAGGCGGCAAUGCUCGAGAAACUCGUGUUGCCAAGGAGCGACGUCGGAGGAAGAAGCCAUUCGUGGAACGAUGCAACUGGCAAGUCUGUGUAGAAGAUCAGCCGGGGCGCUGGACUGGAUGCCGCUCGUAGAGGCGGUCCUUCGUCCUUCGGCGGAUAACGAUAACCAGAAAGUCGAGAAGCUGAGAGGAAGAUUGCUGAGGAUAGUUUUGGAAGCUCUGGGUGGAACCACCGCUCUCUCGACCGUUUUGGAGCAGAUCUUGAAGCACCCCUUGGCAACCAGCGGUACAAUCGGGGAUAUAAGG
rnacentral:misc_RNA from 1 species